GACGAACGCUGGCGGCGCGCCUAACACAUGCAAGUCGAACGGAGCUGAGAGAAGCUUGCUUUUCUUAGCUUAGUGGCGAACGGGUGAGUAACGCGUGAGUAACCUGCCCUGGAGUGGGGGACAACAGUUGGAAACGACGGCUAAUACCGCAUAAGCCCACGAUCCGGCAUCGGAUUGAGGGAAAAGGAUUUAUUCGCUUCAGGAUGGACUCGCGUCCAAUUAGCUAGUUGGUGAGGUAACGGCCCACCAAGGCGACGAUUGGUAGCCGGACUGAGAGGUUGAACGGCCACAUUGGGACUGAGACACGGCCCAGACUCCUACGGGAAGCAGCAGUGGGGGAUAUUGCACAAUGGGGGAAACCCUGAUGCAGCGACGCCGCGUGGAGGAAGAAGGUUUUCGGAUUGUAAACUCCUGUCGUUAGGGACGAUAAUGACGGUACCUAACAAGAAAGCACCGGCUAACUACGUG
rnacentral:rRNA from 1 species